rnacentral:rRNA from 1 species
AACAAGGUUUCCGUAGGUGAACCUGCGGAAGGAUCAUUACUGAAUUGUCAAACACGGGUUGUUGCUGGUCUUCAAACGGGGACAUGUGCACGCUCUGUUUACACAUCCAUUCACACCUGUGCACCCUCUGUAGUUCUACGGUCUGGGGGACAUCGUCUUCCUUCUGUAGCGCUGCAUCUUUACACAUACGCUGUAACAAAGUCCUAUGGAAUGUGUGCCGCGUUUAACGCAAUACAAUACAACUUUCAGCAACGGAUCUCUUGGCUCUCGCAUCGAUGAAGAACGCAGCGAAAUGCGAUAAGUAAUGUGAAUUGCAGAAUUCAGUGAAUCAUCGAAUCUUUGAACGCACCUUGCGCCCCUUGGCUAUUCCGAGGGGCAUGCCUGUUUGAGUAUCAUGAACACCUCAACUCUCAUGGUUUGCCAUGAUGAGCUUGGACUCUGGAGGUUUUGCUGGUCUUUCUGGUCGGCUCCUCUCAAAUGAAUCAGCUUGCCGGUAUCUGGUGGCAUCAUGGGUGUGAUAACUAUCUACGCUCAGAGCUGUCCACCAGGCAACCUCCAGCGAUGGAGGUUUGCUGGGGCUCACAAAUGUCUCUCCUCUGUGGAGACAGCUUUUUGAACGUUCGAUCUCAAAUCAGGUAGGAUUACCCGCUGAACUUAAGCAUAUCAAUAAGCGGAGGAAAAGAAACUAACAAGGAUUCCCCUAGUAACUGCGAGUGAAGCGGGAAGAGCUCAAAUUUAAAAUCUGGCGUGCCUCUGGUCGUCCGAGUUGUAGUCU